GUCGAACGGACUCUUCGGAGUUAGUGGCGGACGGGUGAGUAACGCGUGAGAAUCUACCCUUAGGUUGGGGACAACAGUUGGAAACGACUGCUAAUACCCAAUGUGCCGAGAGGUGAAAGGUUUACUGCCUGAGGAUGAGCUCGCGUCUGAUUAGCUAGUUGGUGGGGUAAGAGCGUACCAAGGCGACGAUCAGUAGCUGGUCUGAGAGGAUGAUCAGCCACACUGGGACUGAGACACGGCCCAGACUCCUACGGGAGGCAGCAGUGGGGAAUUUUCCGCAAUGGGCGAAAGCCUGACGGAGCAAGACCGCGUGCGGGAGGACGGCCUGUGGGUUGUAAACCGCUUUUGAUAGGGAAGAAGAUCUGACGGUACCUAUCGAAUCAGCAUCGGCUAACUCCGUGCCAGCAGCCGCGGUAAUACGGAGGAUGCAAGCGUUAUCCGGAAUUAUUGGGCGUAAAGCGUCCGUAGGUGGUUGAGUAAGUCUGCUGUUAAAGCGUGGAGCUUAACUCCAUACCGGCAGUGGAAACUACUG
rnacentral:rRNA from 1 species